rnacentral:rRNA from 1 species
GACGAACGCUGGCGGCGUGCUUAACACAUGCAAGUCGAACGGAAAGGCCCUGCUUGCAGGGUGCUCGAGUGGCGAACGGGUGAGUAACACGUGGGUGAUCUGCCCCUUACUUUGGGAUAAGCCUGGGAAACUGGGUCUAAUACUGGAUAGGACCAUGCUGUAGGUGGUGUGGUGGAAAGAUUAGUUUCGGUAAGGGAUGAGCUCGCGGCCUAUCAGCUUGUUGGUGGGGUAAUGGCCUACCAAGGCGUCGACGGGUCGCCGGCCUGAGAGGGUGGACGGCCACAUUGGGACUGAGAUACGGCCCAGACUCCUACGGGAGGCAGCAGUGGGGAAUAGUGCACAAUGGGCGCAAGCCUGAUGCAGCGACGCCGCGUGGGGGAUGACGGCCUUCGGGUUGUAAACUCCUUUCAGCCAUGACGAAGCCCUUGUGGUGACGGUAGUGGUAGAAGAAGCACCGGCUAACUACGUG